GAAAACUGACAGAAAUUCACCUUGGGACUCUAGAGCUGAUCGGCUCAAUACAGAGCCAAUUAGCUCUAUACUGAGCCGAUUGGCUGAUCAAGCUGGCCCUUUUAUUUUUUGCAUUUUUGGCAUAUUUCAAUGUAUUCUCGACCUCUAUAUAGUUUUAGGUCUUUCUGGUUUGGUAAUCGUAGUUGUAGGCAGGUUGUAAUAAUUAAGAUUUUCU
rnacentral:lncRNA from 1 species